rnacentral:rRNA from 1 species
UACGUAGGCAGCAAGCGUUGUUCGGAGUUACUGGGCGUAAAGGGUGCGUAGGCGGCUUUUUAAGUUUGGUGUGAAAUCUCCCGGCUCAACUGGGAGGGUGCGCCGAAUACUGAGAGGCUAGAGUGUGGGAGAGGAAAGUGGAAUUCCUGGUGUAGCGGUGAAAUGCGUAGAUAUCAGGAGGAACACCGGUGGUGUAAAACGGCUUUCUGGACCAUAACUGACGCUGAUGCACGAAAGCGUGGGUAGCAAACAGG